UACGUAGGGUGCGAGCGUUAAUCGGAAUUACUGGGCGUAAAGCGUGCGCAGGCGGUUUGUUAAGACAGAUGUGAAAUCCCCGGGCUUAACCUGGGAACUGCAUUUGUGACUGGCAAGCUAGAGUAUGGCAGAGGGGGGUAGAAUUCCACGUGUAGCAGUGAAAUGCGUAGAGAUGUGGAGGAAUACCGAUGGCGAAGGCAGCCCCCUGGGCCAAUACUGACGCUCAUGCACGAAAGCGUGGGGAGCAAACAGGAUUAGAGUACCAAGU
rnacentral:rRNA from 1 species